rnacentral:lncRNA from 1 species
GAAGACAGAAUUUUCCACAAGUUACGAGUGGUGUUGUGAUAAUCAAGCUAGAUACUAUUACUAGUAGAUGUUCAACAUAAUUUAAGUGGCUUGCAUAGAUUACUUAAAUAGAGCAAGGAGAGGACAGAGAGUUAGCACACCUUUAUGAUUAUAGAACAUUUAGCAAUUUUUAGCUACAUUUAUUUCUAAAAUACAAUUAGGUUCAUUAUCGAUUCAAUUCCACUAUUUCCCGUGUGCUAUAACACUACAUUUCAUAUCUUG